AAACGGUAGUAGUGCAGUUCCUCGUAGCUUGAAUACGUCAUAAGUCGGGGACGACCUGUAUUUGGUUAAGCUUUUCCUAAGGCAACUCAGAGUCUGACUCUUUGGAGCCACUUUUUGCCUCCGAGGUGCUAACGUUCCGGCUUUAACACAACGGUGUCGUCCUCCGCACCAGUCGGGAGGGGUGAUGAUGCUAUUGAACACCCAGGCAGUGACAGCUACGUCACAAUGACUGCCGGGUUGGCGACCAUCAUAAGGUGUCAACUAUCAGCUCGAACGCUUCCUGAUUUCAGAGAUGUUAAAAUGUGAAAGAAAAAAGUUCACCUCACAAGCAAUGAAAAAUAUGCGCUUCCUGAGCGACCACACCGCAUGGCCAGAGGGGGAGCAGAGCGGCAGCAGAGACAGCCUGGCCCCGUGUUACGGAUCGAAUUAAAACCGAAACGACUGAACAAACAAAGCCACGGCCAUGGAGUCAGUUCCGACUCCUGACGACCCCAUGUGUUGCACAGUGGAACUACUCCGUAGGGUUUUCUUGACUGUAAUCUUCGCAGAAGAAAAUCGCUGGACCUUUCUUCUGUAGCGCUGUUGGGUAGGUUCAAACCGACAACCUUUAGGUUAGUACGCCAUUGGCCAUUGCCGUCGCUUGGAUACUGACUUAUAGCGAUCCUUCAUGUUGAGAACGCUCCCAGACCUUGCUCUGUGAGUCUCUUAUUUGUAUUCUUUUUGCUGUAGUAAAACUCUAAUUGUAAGUCUAACGUUUUAUGCAAGUACUGUGAAUUCUAGCACAUUAUUGAACCCAAGGGAGUAGCCUGAGCCGGCAGAUCAGAAGUGAGGAGGCGUGGGGACCUCAGAUCUCAGGACUCGUAACCUGAGGGGAUGGAUGGAACUCCCGAAUUUGUAGCCAGCAGGUCAGAAGUGGGAUUGUCACGCAGACCUCCAAGCUUUUGGCUGGCAUCUAAGGUCUUGGGCAGACUUGGCAGUCUGAAGGAUUGUGUCCUUUAACUUGUGAGAUGUGACCUAGCUCUGGGUGGUUAGUGUCAGAGCAAGAAGACCUGCUUGUGAAGCUGGUGUCAGAACAGAAGUGACAGAGACCUUACAGGACACAAGAGAAAUGUGAAACAAUUCACAUUCUUAAGAAGUCCAGAAUUGCAGCACCAGUUGAGACUAGACCACUCCUUGAUACUAUCGCCUUGAGAUACUCUUUAAACCUUGAACCAAAAUUAUCCCUUAAGGCCACCUUUUAGCUAAAUAACGGAUUGGCUCAUAAAAUAAAGAACAUCACCCAUGAAUAAUGAGCUCCUUUUUUUUUUUUUUUUUAAAUCAUCUAAUGGUCAACAAUUACUCUAAAUUGAAGAUGAGAAGGUAAGGGGACAGGGAAGGUGGAGUGCUGGAAAUGCUAACAACCAGAAGGGAAUGAAUGUGAAUAACGAUACAUUGUGAAAAGUGUAACCAAUAUCACUGAAUAAUUCGUGUAGAAUCAGUUAAUGGGAACCUAAACUGCUGUGUAAACUUUCACCUUAAACACAAUAAUGUUAAUUUAAAAACAAAACAAAAAGAAAUGAGAGAAGUGGGGAUUUGAUACUUUUCCACUCACCUUCCUUCCAGUCCUUUGCUUCCUCUUCUUCCUACUAUUUCUCCUGCCCAAUCCUAAUCUUUCUCCCUUCCUCCUCCUUCCUCCUUGUCCUUUCUCUCUGUGUCUCUUGAAAUCAUAAAGCACUUACCCAGGAAUAUCUAUACUUGCAGUGCAGUGAAUUACUUAAUAUGGGCCUGAUAGCCAUUGUCUUUGUGACUCCCACACAAUGAUUGGGUGGGACUAUGCAAAUAAGGUGCUUGUGGUCCACUACAGGGAUUGGGCAGCUUGCUGCUAAUGCAAAUAAGGUGUAUGGAAUCUCUGAUGGUUAAGGUUAUGUAUCAACUUGGCUGGGCCAUGAUUUUGGUGGUUUGGCAGUCAUAUAAUAAUGUAAUUUGGCAGUUAUGUAAUGAUGUAGUCAUCCUCCAUUUUGUGGUCUGAUGUAAUUGUCCCCCAUUUUGCCAUCUGUGUAAUUAUCCUCCAUUUUGUGAUGUAUUAUAAAUUCUAGCCUCAAUUCCUGUGGUUAUGGUCCCAUUUAGAAGUCAGCUGUCCAUUAUGUUAAUGAGGCAGGAUUAGAGUGGGAUGUAUCUUGAGUCACCACCAUAAUAGAGGGUGUGACUCAAGUCACAACCCUUCCCCAGUCACCAUCUUUAUUCAAGUCACAUUCUUGCACUGACUUGUUCAAGUAAGAGAAAUUUCCUUGAGGGUAUGAUCUACAUCCAAUAUAUAUAUGAAUGUGCGGGAGAAGCUCUCUUUCUCUUGGUCUAGAUCUUGCAUCCGGCUCGUCACCAUCUGACCUCUUGUUCUUGGAACUUGAGCCAGCAGCCUAUCACCUGACUUAAUUCGCCACCUUUGCAGCCUUGUGAGCCAGUAGCCUGUCAUCUGACCUGCCAGUUUGAGUUCAUCAGCCCCUGCAACCACAUGAGUCAGGAGAAGACUCCACCCUGAUGCCUGACCCACAGAUUUGGGACUUGCCAGCCUCCACAACUGUGAGAGCCAUUCCUUGAUGGUUUGUGAGUUCUGUGAGAUUUUGCAGUAAAUUAUGAAACCCAAAGAUGGGAGGGAGAGUACUGAGGGGAGGAGGAGUAGUUGAUGUUAGGUAUGAUGGAGUGGUACAACAGUUUGGAAAAGCUGGACAUUCGGGACAUCUUUAAUCUUCACGUCAUAGGAACCAGCUUUGGGCUGAUCCUUCUAAAAAGAAAUUAUUUUUUCAACACAUCAUGGCCUUCAUCCUCUCACCAUUCUCCAUAACUCUAGGUAAACCUAAACUUAAAAACUCAUUGCCAUUGAGUCAAUUCCAACUCAUAGCGACCCUAUAGGACAGAGUAGAACUGCUCCAUAGGGUUUCCAAGGCUGUACUCUUUACAGAAGCAGACUGCCUCAUCUUUCUCCUGGAGAGUGGCUGGUGGGUUGUAACUGCUAACCUUCAGGUUGAUAGCCGAGCACUUAACCACUGAACCACCAGGGCUCCUUAAACCUAAACUUAGUCCCCAAGAAUUCAUUCAUUCAUUCAUUUAAAUAUUUAUUGUAUGCCUUCUCUGUGCUAGGCACAGUUCUAGGCACUGAUACUGUGGUGAAUAAGACAUAGUUGUUGUCCUCAUGGGGCUUAUAUAUAUAUAUUUUAGAGAGACCAAGGAGUAGGAGGGAGGGGGAAAGGGGGCCGUUGCCUGUGGAGUACUGAGCUGCAGUCCACGGUGAUGGGAAGAUCGCGUUGACUGAGGGUAGGGUUGCGCAGCUGAUCGGCGCAGUUGCUGUCAAUAAGUUGCACACUUGGGAAGAGCUGAUGGUUCCCUCUGGACUUCAGCCACACCAGCAACUGCUCCUGGAGGGUAUGCAAUCCUCCGAGCUGUGGGCUUCCUCUCGCGCUGCGCCCUGUGUACCUGGAGGUUGUGCUUUCUCCUUUUCCUGAGGCCCAUCCAGUUCUGCAGUGGAGUCCACCUCUGUUUCCUGAACUGGGACUGAGAUAGGUUUCUUCUCAGCUGUGGCAGCUGCUAUAGCUUUUGCCUCUUCUUCUUUCUCCUGAUUUUCUUUUCAAGUUCCUUUCUCCUCUUCUCAUUAUCCUGACAGGACACGUGGUCAAAAGGUUUUGAAUACCUGCAACACCAAAGCCUGAGCUAUACCCCGGUACAGUUAGACAGGUGGCACAGCAGGUGGUAGGAGUCGGUCUUAGAGUAGAGGAAACUGAACAGCUUGUGCAGAAAAGUCCUAGACGUUGCCCACAGGCUGCAAGAUGCCCAGUGGGUCUGUUUUAACAACUCGCUGACCCAGACUCCACGUUGACUGGCCAGCCCAGGAGGAAAACUCAUUGUUAAAAUAAAAAUCAUAUUAAGCCAAUAAUAGAAAUUGAAGUUUAUUUGAUAUACGAUUUGCAAACCGGGGUAACAUUUUGACUAGAGAGUCAAAAAUGUUCUAAAGAUGAGCAGCGUCUUAGCUAUCUAGUGCUGCUAUAACAGAAAUACAAGUGGAUGGCUUUAACAAAGAGAAAUUUAUUCUUUCACAGUCUAGUAGGCUAGAAGUCCAAAUUUAGGGUGCCAGCUCCAGGAGAAGGCUUUCUCUCUCUGUCGGCUCUGGGAGAAGGUUUUUCUCAUCAAUCUUCCCCUGGUUGAGGAGCUUCUCCGUGCAGGGACCCAGGGACCAAAGAUGCACUAUUCUCCUGGCUCUUGUUUCUUGGUGAAAUGAGGUCCCCCUGUCUCCCUGCUUGCUUCUCUCUUUUAUAUCUCAAGAGAGAUUGACUUAAGACAAAACCUAAUCUUAUAGACUGACUUCUGCCUUGUUAAUGUAACUGCCUGUAACCUUGCCUCAUUAACAUCAUAAGGUAGGAUUUACAACACUUGGGAAAAUCACAUCAGGUGACAAAAUGAUGGAAAAUCACACAACACUGGGAAUCACGGCCUAGCCAAGUUGACACGCAUUUUGGGGGGACGCAGGUCAAUCCACUAGAAGAACUUCCAGAAUUCUUUUACCAAAUUUUAUCGGCAUUGCCAUGGAAAUGGUGAGGGAAGCAGAACAGUGUUUACAUAAUAACAGUUUACCCUAAAACACAGCUUCCAGUCAGGCCCUGGAGUUCCUGUUUCUGGAACCCUCCUACACAUAAUUUUCUAAAAGUGCCCAAUGCCUAAGGCAAAACAGUCUCCACUAAGCUGUAUACUAGGCUAUUAUUUGACUUAAAGGUGACUUUUAGGAACCCAGUUUCUUCCAGGCUAACAGUUCAAAAGGACACCUAAGGGCAAAUGGUCUGGGUGGGGGUUGCCUCAACUCCAUGAACCCCAGAAAUCUGGAUUCCAGGAGAAUUAAAAUGGUUUCUCACUACGCGCUGCUGGAGGAUGGUGUGGAGCAACUCCGGGGCUUAUAUUCUUUGCAGAGAUUCAGAUAAUAAACGGAAGUAAGAAAAAAAGAAGAAAAAGGAAGUAAGGGUAAAGGGACUUGGUGGAGUUGGUAAAAAACAAAAAAAGCCCAAACGCAUUGCCUUGGAGUCACUUCUGACUCAUGGCGAUGCCCUCUGUUGCAGAGUAGAACUGUGCUCCAUGGGGUUUUCUUGGCUGUAAUAUUUACGGAAGCAGAUGGCCAGGGCUUUUUUCACACUGCUGCUAGGUGUGUGGAAACCCUGGUGGCGUAGUGGUUAAGUGCUAUGGCUGCUAAUCAAGAGUUCCGCAGUUCGAAUCCUCCAGGUGCUCCUUGGAAACUCUUUGGGGCAGCUCUACUCUGCUCUAUACGGUCGCUAUGAGUCAGAAUCGACUCAAUGGCAGUGGGUUUUGCUAGGUGUGUUGGAAUCACCAACCUUUAGGUAGUAAAGCACAAACCAUUUGCACUACUCAGGGACCUUGGGGAUUACCAAAAAUAUGGCCGCCCACAUCUCCUCCCAUCCCUGUACGCACACCCUGCUCUGUCCAUCAAGAAGUAGAGCCUCUUUCCCUUCUUUGAAUCCGCGCUGGCCUGCCUCGUGACUGGCUUUGAUUAAUAGAAUGUGGAGAGGUGACGUCCUGAGGCUUCUGAGCUCAGGCUUUGAGAGGUGGCAGCUUCUGCUUUCUCCUUCUUGAAGCCCUUAUCUACCACAUAGAGAGGUCCCACUGCCCUGCUCCCCGCUGGACCCCUGUAGAAAGAGAGGGGCUGCAAUACCACUUUCUUUAAAUGCUGUCUUGACACAGCUUCGAGGCCCUGGCUGGACGCCAGUCUGUUUCCCUUCUUGAACAGCUGAUUAAGUCCAUUCUCCAACUACCCCUCUUACCAGAUUCUCACACUUCUGGGUCACGAUACACCCCUCCUAGUUACCCAGAGCCAGGUACCCAACAAUUAGGGACAGUCCCUAUGCCCCCUGAGCGUGCAGAAUUAUUCAAUCCCCAAUCCCCAGGAGAGCUGUGCAACCUAGCUAACCCCAUUCUGCUUGGCACACAUAAGCCUCUUGUACAACUCCAACUUAUUGUUACCUUGUCCUGAGUGCAGCCCCUGUGUGGCCCUGCAUUGUGGAAUGCUGUGACUCCCAGUCUCUGGAAACUGUGAGUCUGAUAAACCUAGGUCCCCAGGUGGCACAAGUGGUUUGCUCUUAACUGUGAACGUAAAGGUUGGCAGAAUGAGCGCACUGAGUGGUACUGUGGAAGAUAGGCCUGGCGAUCUGCUUCUGUUAAAAUUACAGCCAAGAACACCACAUGGGGUUGCCAUGACUUAAAAUCGACUUAACGGGAACUAACAACAACAAGUUACUUUUAUAUAGAUGAUUUUCAAAAGAAGCACAGUACUCAUGGGUGAUAGUCUUUAUUUUGUGAGCCAGUCUGUUUUUUAGCUAACAGGUGACCUCAGGGGCUUAUUUAACUUCAAAGUUUAAAGAGCAUCUCAGGGCAAUAGUCUCAGAGAGUCCUCCAGUCUCGAACAGUCAAGUAACCUGGGUUUUUUAAGAAUUUGAGGUUCUGUUCCACAUUUUUCUCCCAUUCUAUCCGAAUCCAUCUCUUGUGGCCCUGGUCAGAACCGUAGUUAGUGGUAGCCAGGCACCAUCUAGUUCUUCUGGUCUCAAGGUAGAUGAGGCCAUGGUUCAUAUAGACUAUUGUCCCAUAGACUAGUUUCUUCUUUGAGUCUUUGGUAACAACAAGUUACUUUUCAUGGCUUCCUUCGCUCUUUUUCCUCUCACGACACCUGACAUAUCCUUCCACAAAUCUGUUAUAGAGCAGAGGCCACAUGGAGAUGAGCCUGAAACCAUUUAGAACAUUCCAGCCCCACCUACCCCUUGACCCCUACCUUCAGGAUUUCAUACUUUUAAUUUUUAACUGGAGCUUUCCAUUUCAUUCCAUUAUACAUUUUAUUUAAAUGCAUUAAAGGGGCAGAUCAUCCAAGCUUUUAAAAUUUACUCUAAAUUAUUUAAUGCAUGAAAAAACAUAACAGAUAAUAAACACUCCUCUCAUCAGGGUGUUAACGGCCAAGUCUCUCAGAGUGGGAGAGGGGAAAAAAGGAAACAGCGUGAAUUCCCCUCAGUUGGGUAAUGACUGAAUAAAUUUUGGCAAAAUCACACCAAAAUUACUAAUGCAGCUGUUAAAAAGGAUGAAUCAAAUGACUUGGAGGAUGUCCACGAGGGACUGUUGAGUGAGAUGCAGAGAGCUGUGGCUAAUAUCCUGUUAUUGGAAGACAAAAAUGAAAACCCUGUACAUGUCUGUUGACUGUAGAUAGGUAUAUAUGGGAUUAUUUGAGCUUGGAAAAUAAUGGAAGGAGUUGUAUUAGGUUGCUAAUAUAAAAUUUCCAGAAGGAAGUCCCUUAAGGUGGGGGGCUAUGGAGACAAGAUAGAAAGGAGAUACCCAUGCAGAAAAGGAAAAGGGGAAAAAAACUUCACUUAAAAAACAAAAAGCAUGUGGGUAUGCAGCAAAAUCAUAAAUACCCUGUUCAGGAUGAAGAUUCUCUCAGGAAAGGAGGAAGGGAAGGGGAGGUGACCAGGGAAGGGGGCUUUGAUGUUUUCUGUUUUUAGUUAAAUGGUUAAAAACAAAACUAAACCCACUGUCAUUGAGUCAAUUCCAACUCAUGGCGACCCCACGUGUCUCAGUGUAGAACUGCACUCCAUGGGGUUUUCAAUGGCUGAUUUUUUAAAAGGAAACCCUGGUGGCAUAGAAGUUAAGUGCUAUUGCUGCCAACCAAAAGGUCGGCAGUUCGAAUCCCCCAGGUGCUCCUUGGAAACUCUAUGGGGGAGUUCUACACUGUCCUAUAGGAUCGCUGUGAGUCACAAUUGACUUGACAGCAGGAAGUGUUUUGGUUUUGGAUUUUUUGAAAGCCGAUCACCAGGCCUUUCUCCUGCAGAGCUGCCGGGUGGGUUCAAACCUCCAACCUUUUGGUUAACAGCUGAGGUCAAACUGUUUGCAGCACUCAGGAACCUGAUUGGUGAAAAAAAACCGUUGCUGUUGAGUCGAACUGCCCUAUAGGGUUGCCAGGGAGCGGCUGGUGGAUUUGAACUGCCGACCUUUUGGUUUGUCUCUGUAGCUCUUAACCACUGUGCCACCAGGGCUCUGAUUGGUGAAAGGCUGGCUUAUUCUUUGUUUUUAUACAUUUUAAGUAAUUUGUAAUAAAUUUUUAAAAAUUUGCGUAGUGUGCUCCCAUUUAUGGCCUUAUGAAAAAUUUAGAAAGAUACAAUAAAAUUAAACUCUCUGCCCAAGUUACCAUCAUCACUCUUCUUUCCGCCCUGAAAGUCCACCUGCAGACUCCAGGGUCUUCAUCGUUAACUGACUUCCGCCGGCAAACAUUUCCUGAGCACCUGCCUGUGGGUUUGGGGCUCAGCCAAGAUACAUCAGAUCCUGGCUCCAUCCCCUGAGCCUCCAGUCUGGCAGCGAUUUCUCCUUCCUUCCUCAUUUCCUCCACAGCGGUCCCUGGGAUCCUCCACACCAACACUUUAUAGGGCUGACAUCCUCCAUGAGGGAGGGCAUGUCGGGGAGCAGAAAGAAUGGGGCUUUUGGAGGUCCUUGCCCUCCCCGUUUAUAAUAGUAAUGGCAUUCACUGAUUUGUAUUGGGCUUUUUAAAAUUUAAUUAAUUAAUUAAUUUUUAUUGUGCUUUAAGUGAAAGUUUACAAAUCAGGUCAGUCUCUCUUACAAAAAUUUAUAUACAUCUUGCUAUACACUCCUAAUUGCUCUCCCCCUAAUGAGAAGUUUUUUUUCUUUUAAUGAGAUAGCACACUCCUUCCCUCCACUCUUUAUUUUCGUGUCCAUUCGGGCAGCUUCUGGCCCCCUUUGCCCUCUCAUCUCCCCUCCAGACAGGAGAUGCCAACACAGUCUCAUGUGUCUACUUGAUCCAAGAAGUUCGUUCUUCACCAGUAACAUUUUCUAUCCCAUGUUCCAGUCCAAUCCCUGUCUGAAGAGUUGGCUUUGGGAAUGGUUCCUAUCUUGGGCUAACAGAAGGUCUAGUUACCAUGGCCUCUGGGGUCCUUCUAGUCCCAGUCUGACCAUUAAGUCUGGUCUUUUUACGAGAAUUUGGGGUCUGAAUCCCACUGCUCUACUGCUUCCUCAGGGGUUCUCUGUUGUGUUCCCUGUCAGGGCAGUCAUCGGUUGUAGCCGGGUGUAUUGAGCUUUUACAGUAUUCCAUCGAGUCUCUGGGUAGUGCAAACAGCUAUGCAACUGACUAAUAACCAAAAGGUUGGUGGUUUGAAUCCACCCACCGUCCUCUCGGAAGAAAGGGCUUGGCGAUCUGCUUCUGAAAGGUCACAGCUGGAAAACCCUAUGGAAUGCAGUUCUGCACUGACACACAGUUCUCUGCACAAGUGGGGUUGCCAUGAGUCGGAAUCGACUCCUCGGUAACUGGUAACCACAUGCCAUGCACUGUUCUGAGUGUUGUACACAUAUCGAUUGUUUCAACUCUCACCCCGUCUCCGUGAAUAGGAAUCAUUAUUGCCCCAUUUCACAAAUAGGAAAGCAGAGGUCAAGGUAUUUGCCCAAGGUCAUAGAACUUAUAACUGGCAGACAGGCUUUAAACUUCAGACAGACUCGUGCAAGAGCCCAUACUCUUGACCACUGUAUUGGUCUCUGUCUUUGGAUGUGUCUCCUGUCUGCAUAUUGAACUAUUCACUUUGUGUGUGUGUAUGUGUUUGUCUUAGUUAUCUAGUGCUGCUAUAACAGAAAUACCACAAGUGAAUAGCUUUAACAAACAAAUUUAUUCUCCCACAGAAGUCCAAAUUCAGGGUGCCAGCUCCAGGGGAAAGCUGUCCCUCUCUGUUGGUUCUGGGGGAAGGUCCUUGUCAUCAAUCUUCCCUGGUCUAGGAGCUUCUCAGUGCAGGGACCCCAGAUCCAAAGGACACACUUUGCUCCCGGUAUUUCUUUCUUGGUGGCAAGAGAUUCCUGUCCUCAUUGCUUGCUUCUCUUAUAUCUCAAAAGAGAUUGACUCAGGAUACAACCUAAUCCUGUAGAUUGAGUCCUCCCUCAUUAACAUAACUGCCUCUAAUCCUGCCUCAUUAACAUCAUAGAGGUUAGAAUUUACAACACAUGGGAUAAUCACAUCAGAUCACAAAAAGGUGGACAACCACACAAUACUGGGAAUCAUGGCCUAGCCAAGUUGACAUACAUUUUUGGGGGACACGAUUCAAUCUAUAAACAGUGCAUGUGUGGUAAAAUACACAUAAAAUUUACCAUUAGUGAUAUUUAGUACAUUCACAGUGUUGUGCAAACAUCACCACUGUCUACUUCCAGAACAUUCUCAUCACCCCAAACGGAAACCCUGUGCCUCUUAAAUGAACUCUUCACUUUCGAUGGGAUCCUUGGGUGGUACAAAUGGUUAAGCACUAGGCUACUAAUCAAAAGGUCGGUGGUUCAAAUCCAUCCGGAGGUGCCUCAGAUGAAAGGCCUGGCAAUCUGCUUCCAAAAGAUUACAGCCAUUGAAAACCCUAUGGAGUGCAGUUCUCUUCUGCACACAUGGGGUCUCCACGAGUCGGAAUAGACUUGACAGCAACUGGUUAACUGGUUUCACUUUUGAUAUGAUUUUUCUGUGGAGGUUUAGAGGAAUGCCACAGUCCCAUGGGUGAGGAGAGCUCUCCGCUGAAGGACAAGGACAUUCUAGGGCCCUUUAGCUUGGGUGGAAACCCUGGUGGCAUAGUGGUUAAGAGUUAUGUUUGCUAACCAAAAGGUCAGCCGUUUGAAUCCACCAAUUGCCCCUUGGAAACUCUAUGGGGCAUUUCUACUCUGGAAUUGACUUGAUGGCAAUGGGCUUGGUUUUGGGGUUUUUAGCUGGGGCAGCCAUGUUAAGCUGUCAUCAUGCUUUAUUUUCUUUCAUCAUCGCUCCCAGAGAGCACGCGUAUCACAGAUGUUACAGGUGUAGGCUGUGAUGCACGCUGAACUGUUUAUGGGUGAAAUGUGAUGUCUGGGGUUUGCGUUAAAACAUCUCAGCACAAUAACAAGGGAGAGAGGAAAGCAGAAAAUAGGAAGGGGGGAAGGAGAGAGAAAGGGAGGAGAAGAAGGGAGGAAGGGAAGAAGAAGGAGAGGAAGAGAAGGAGAGAGGGUGGAAAGGAGGAGGGGGGAAGGAAAGAACGAGAUCACUGGCAAAAUGUGGAUAAUUGUUGACGCUGGAGGACUGACAGCCAGGAGUUCAUUUUACUAUUCUCUCUACCUUUGUGUACAUUUGGAUGUUUCCUUAAUAUUUAAAAGGAAAAAAUAGCAUGCUCUAGGGUCAGACAGAAUGCUGCCACUUACUGGCAAUCCUUUAUCUUGCCUGAUCUUCAGUCUCCUCCUCUAUACGGUGCAGAUGGUAACACUACAGUUAUCAUGAUUAUUAACAACCCUGGGAGGUAGCUACUUCCAUCUGUUGAAAGCUUAGGAUGUGCUGAGCCUUCAUUUUACAAAAGAACCCAGUGCCCUCAAGUACGAACCUGUAAAACGGGACUAGUAGGAGAAGUAGUACAGAGCCCUGGUGGCACAGUGGUUAAGAGCUACGGCUGCUAAUCAAAAGGUCGGCAGUUCAAAUCCACCAGCCACUCCUUGGAAACCCCAUGGGGCAGUCCUAGUCUGUCCUACAGGGUCGCUAUGAGUCGGAGUCGACUUGAUGGCAAUGGGUGUUUUUUUUUUUUUUUGAUUUAGGAGUAGUAGUAGUGUCUGAACCUGUCUAACUUUGUGGGAGACAAUGAGAACCACCAUCAGCACAAAGCUGAUUCCCAUGAGGUGGAGGUCAGACGUACCUCCAUUCGGCAAUCUUUUCUAUCAAUUCUGACGCCAGCCGUCCCUCUCACAGUACUCUCUGCUUCUCUUCUGGGUUCAAUCAUCCGUUGCAAUGGCCACAUAGAACUCAUAGACCAUACAUACAGUUAAGUGGUUUAUUAAGUAAGUAACAGGGUACAAUUCGGGAUCAGGAUCAACAGGGUACAACUCAGGGUCAGAAUCGGGAAGCACGUAGGCAAAGUCUGGAAGACUCUCCUAAAGUGAAGAGAACAUCCCUCCUUUUUCAGUGCAGAACUGAUCUGUCAGCUCCUCUGGGCCAUGCAGGUCUCUCUCCCUCCCUCCCUCCCUCUCUCUCUCUCUCUCCACAGGCUCCUUUUGGCCCUGCCAUCUGUUGCCACCGGUUCUGCUGCUGGGCCUCUCCUGGGCCGCUCACUGUCUUCAGUGUUACAGCUCUUGACCAUGUUACAGCUCUUUUAGGAGGUUCCUUGCCUUCUCUCUCUCUGCUUCUUCUCUCUUCUUUCUGCUUCUUCCUGCUGCUUCUCUUCCUGCUUCCUUCUGUCUGAAAAACCUCUGUGAGUUUGGCUGAUUAUAUACACAACUCUUUGUCAGUUUCAAGGCACAGUCCCUCCCAGUGAGGGGGAGCACAAACUGGCCAACCCCCUCUUGGAAGGCCACAGACUCUUCAUUUGCAUAGUAGGCUAUAGUCACCUGAUUUGCACAGCCUAUUGACCAGUCCUUGCAAGGUGCAUACCAAUCACAGGGCAGGUUGCAACCCAGGACCAGACAAAAGUAUCAAACCCAGCUUACCCAGGAAAUGUCAAUCACCCUGGACAAAAGUUAUAAACCCUCUGCAGUAGAAAACUAGGGCAAAGGUAACUGCUCAGGGCUUAGGAGAAAAAUCUCUCGAAAUGUUUUUCCAAAGCACAAAGGCAAAAAGCCACAUAAAGGAAUUCAUUUCACAACAGUACCUUACAAUAAUACCUUGCCAUAAUGUGAAGUUGAACCAUUAUUAUUUCCCUUUACAAAUGAGAUCACAAGGCUCAGAUAGGUUAUGAGACUUGUCCAAGGCCACACAGCAGAUAAAUUGUGACUCCACACUAUAAAUCCAGGUCUGUUUAAGUCCAAAGACCUUAACCACCAACCUAUCUAGGGCAGCAAUUUGAGCUAUUUGAUUCUACCCCCAACUCUGCCGUCAAUUUCCUUUGUGACCUUGUCAGGAUAGGCCAGGUAAUGCUGAAGUAACACACAGCCCCAACAUCUUGGUGGCUUACAAUGCAUCAAAGUUUAUUUCUCAUUCAAAUUACAUGUCCACUGGGUGUUUGCCGUGGCCCUGCUCCACAUUGCCUUCGCUCCAGAUGAGGAAACUGGGGCUGAGAGAAAGGAAGGGACCUACUCAAUGUCAUCAUUAUGAGAGACCAGUGGCCUUUCAGCCCCAUCUUCAUCUUUCUCUGCUUGGUAAUGCUGGGGCUGAAAGCUACAUUUUCCAGGCUCCUUUGCCACCUGACUUCUGCAAAGGAACCCUCUCUGGAACCUUCUGGUCAUCAUGGAAGAGAGAGAAGAGUCACAGCAAACUACUUGCCAGCUCUUAAAGCUUCUACCCAGAAUCGAUUCAUGUUGCUUCUGCCCACAUUUCAGAGUCCCUGCAAAGCUGUUCCAUCCUUUUAACACUGGGCAUGGUGACCUUCAAAUCCACGUGGACCAUGAAUCAAUAGACGAGUCUAGCUACUUGCUGUGGACUCAGAGGUUCCUACCCCUCAUCUGCAAAAUGCCCUCGUAGGAAUUAUACGCCUCAUUAGAUGAGGCAUUGUUUGAAUCAACAAGAUAAAUUAUGUGAAACACCCACCCAGUGCUAGCUAGAAAUAUUAUCUUCUUCCCUGUUUUCUUUAAGUGACAUUCUACUAUUAAACUACUAUUGGCAACGUUUCAUUCUGUUGUACACAGGUCGCCGUGAGUUGGAGUUCACUAAAUGGCAACCAUCUACCUAUCUGUCUAAUCUGUCUGUCCAUCUGUCCAUCCAUCAGUCCAUCCAUCCAUCCAUCUAUCUAUGCUCUUUUAGAACCUGUCAUUCCCCACCAAGAGUAGAACCUGUUCCCCCCACCCUUGAACCUGGGCAGACUUUUGUGACUGCCUUGAUGGAUAGAAUGUGGCAGGCGCAAUACUGCCUGUCUUCUGAGACUAGGUCAUAAAAGGUGCUGCGACUUCUCUCAGGAUGCUUGCCCAAGAGCAUCUGUCGCUGAGUGACAAAUUACUGCAAAGUCCACAGCUUAUGAGAGCACUCAUUUAUUAUCUCACAAUUCUGUAGGUCAAAAUCUGGAUGGCCUCAACUGGAGGUCUCUGCUCAGGGUCUCAGGGGGCUGAAAUCAAGGUGGUGGCUGGGCUGGGCUCUUAUCUAGGGCUCUGGGUCCUCUUCCAAGCUCAUUCAGGUUUUUAGAAAAAUUCAAUUCUUUGUGGUUGUAGGACUGAAGUCCCCAUUGGCUGUUGGCCAGGGGCCAUCCUCAGCCCCUAGAAGCCACCCUUGGGUCCUUUCCACAUGACCCGCUCCACUUUCAAGUCAGCAAUGAUACACCGAAUCCCUUUCAUGCUUUAAGUAUCUCUGACUUCUCUUCUGCUACCAGCCAGAGAAAACUAUGUUUUUAAAGGGCUUAUGUGAUUAGAUUAAACCCACUGGCUAAGUUCCCUUUUGAUUAAAGACAACCGAUUAGUCACUUAGGGUUUUAAUUAUAUCUGCAAAAGGCCUUUUGCCACGUAACAUAACAUAAUCAUUAGUUUGAUAUUUCAUCAUAGUCACAGUCCCAAGAAUUAGGAUGAGAAAUCUUGGGGGUUCAUUUUUUUUCUUAUUGUGCUUUAGAUGGAGUUUUACAGAGCAAAUUAGUUUCUCAUUAAACAAUGAAUACACAUAUUGUUUUGUGACAUUAGUUGCCAACCCCAUGACAUGUCAACACUCUCCGCAUCUCAACCUUGGGUUCCUGUUACCAGCUUUCCUGUCUUGUGGGGUUAUUUUUGAAUUACGUCUACCAUAAACCCAGAGGUCACACUGUGAGGAAACUCAGGCCAUGUGGAGAGGCCACAUGUGGGUGCCACAGCUAUGGUCCAAACCAACUGCCAAGUGAGUAAACCUUCACAUGAGUCCACCUGUGACCGUCUAGCCUUCCAGCUGAUGAUCCGGACAUACUGGGUCAGACACAAGCCAUCUCCACUGUGCUCUGUGUGAAUUCCUGAUUCAUGCCCCUGAAUUAAUAAGUGAUUGCUUUAAGACACUAAGUUUUGGUUUCCUUCUUUUGCUUUCCCAGCCCUUCCAACACAGUGUCGGUAAUUCCCUGAAUUAAAUGCCCUCUAUUGAAACACCUGGAGCCCUGGUGGCGCAGUGGUCAAGAGCUACAGCUGCUAACAAAAAGGUACAACAGAAGGAAGCGUUGCCCAGCCCUGCAUCAUCCUCAUGAUCUCAGGCAUGUUCAAGUCCAUGGCUGCAGCUGUUACGCCCAUUCAUCUCACCACGGGUCUCCCCCGCCCUUGCUGGCUCUCCGCUUCACCCAACGUGAUGUCAUAUUCCAGCUGGUGAUACAGCAAACGGAUCCUCUUCUGCCUCACAGAAUGGUCCUUGCUGAUGUGGCUUCUAACAAAGGAACCUUCUGGAACUCAGAGAAUGCUGCUCCAUCCAGGGAUGACCACCUCUCACCUCUAAAACUGCUUGUCAUUCCCUUCAGUUGCCUCACUUAAUAACCUGUUGCCUUGGAAAAUACUAUUUCAAUUAACAUCUCUUUUCUGGAGGGCGAAAAUGAUUGUGAAUGCUCUUUGGUAAGCCCAAAGAAGCCGAUUGGCAAAUCUCUCUUCUUUCACAAACAAGGAAGUGAAGAAAAGAAAAGAAAACACACACACACAGUCUGUCGGAUUCCUUAUUUAAACAGAGUUCAGAGCGCUGAUCUCACUUACAUAACAGGAUGCUUGGGUUUGGAAAUGUGUGCACCUCUGUGAGUGGGUUUUGGGUACUGGGAUAUACAAGUGGACAUUGGUGGUUGUGUGGAUGUGUGCCAGUGGGAUUGUCUGACUCUCAGCACGUCCUAGGUGCUGUGUGUGUGUGCACAUGAAUGAUUGCACUUCCUGGGAGCACUGUGGGGUGGGGGUGUGCUGGGAACACAUAGGAUUGGGAAGAGCAUGUGGGAUCCAGGGAUUGGACAGAGGGUAGGGUUUCAGGAAGACAGGGUUCAGAGCACCUGGCUGUGUGGGAAGAGCCUGGAACUUGCAUUCAGGAAUGGCAGUGAGAUGAAAUCCAUACUGCUCUGGGCCCAGGGUGGUAUUUGCUGGCAGCUGGCAGACCUCUGACGUAGCACAGACCUUCAGGAUUUGAGGACCCCCUGCAGAAACAGAUCAGACUCCCUCCUGGUCAGAGCCUGGUCUCCCAACUUGAUGUGGGUAUUUCUUAAAGUUCUGUCUCUCUUAGCAGCCUCUCUUGGUAGUUCUACAUGAUUCGUUUUCAAAUCUUCCUGAUUAGUUUUGGCAACCUCUUAUUGCCUGCUCAGAAGCCCCUGGGUGGCACAAAUGUUUAAGUGCUCAGCUACUAAUCAAAAGGUUGGUGGCUUGAAUCCACCCAGAGGUACCUCAGCAGAAUGGCCUUGCAAUCUGCUUCUGAAAGAUCACAGCCUUUGAAAGUCCUAUGAAGCACAGUUCUACUCUGACACAUAACUCAGUGGCAGCUCGUUUUUGUGAUUAUAACUUUAUUCCUUCAAAUAUAUCACAUAUAUAUAUAUAUUAUAUA